CAAACUCCGAACAUCAAUCAUCCUUCAAUUCAAUUCAAUCUUAUUUUCGAACAUUCCUCGUAAUCGCGUUAAUGGAGAUCACUCCAUUUUCGAUUAGAUUCAAGCUCUACGAUCAACUCGAGCUUCUGGAGUUUCCCAAUAAGUUCUUCAUCAAACCAGUAGAUUCGCAUCAUCAAGGCUUCUCCGUCGAUCGCCGCGACGGCAACAUCAAACCUCUCGACGGAAAAUUAUUUAGGACAUGAAUCUGUAUUUCAUUUCGCGAGCUGUUGUGCCAGCUGUUGUGUUUGAUGUGACUAUUCAGUUGGUCUAUUUUGCCAGAAUAGCUUCUCACUUCUUCUUCUCAGAUAGAUCUUUGAGUAUUGCCAGCCUCACCACCCAUCUGGCAUGAUCCCUCGCCGAUCGUUUUAGCCUCUUCGUGUUAUUCACCGGCACCACUGUUGAUUUCACCUUUUUGAUCCACCGGCGAACUUCUUCACCCGUCUGAACCUCGAUACAGCUUCUAUAGCCGCGUCAACCGCAUACCAAUCGUCAAAAUCUUUGCUUUUUUCUUUUUUUUUCUUGUUUUGUUUUUGGAUUUCUCGUUUUGAAUGAGUUAUGGAACCACUGGAGAAUUGUGGUGGCUGUGGCUGUGAAGAAGCGAUGUUCAAGACGGUGGAGAAGAUAUAUUCAACAAUAAACCAAUUCUUCAGAAUGCGAGGAAGUAGAUCUGUAUUUGCAAGCUGUCAUCGGCCAACUUUCGAAUAGGAGAAGGUUCGAGGUGGCUAUGUUGGUGUUCAUGCUUCGAAGAGAAAAUGAGAUUGAUUUGUUGGAAGUGAUAUGCAUUUCAUGGAAGAUCAAAACCUUAUUUAUAGAUCAAGGUUUCAUGCCGUUUAUGGAGUAAUGAAGGGUCUUGAAUGCACGAUAGUGGGGGAGAGUGGGGUAAAGACUUUAGUGCAUUUUUCUUUGAAGGCGGUGACUAUGUUCCGUAUGGGCUAAUAACGAUGGGCCUGUUAUGUAGUUUAGUUAUUAUAGAAAUCCAUUAGUAGAGACAUCAAUCAAUGAAACCGAAAGAGUGAUUUUUGGCAAAA